rnacentral:tRNA from 1 species
GACCUCGUAGCUCAGUUGGUAGAGUAUUGGACUAGCAAACCAAAGGUCGUGGGUUCGAUUCUCAUCCUGGUCA